rnacentral:tRNA from 1 species
CAGAUUUUGGGUUUAAAUUUAUUUACAAUAAGUUUUUUAAGUUGUUCAAUUCGGCUGAGUCUGA